rfam:Acetobacter sp. CAG:267 genomic scaffold, scf15
AAUCAAGCGAUAGGUAAGGGCAUUUGGUGAAUGCCUUGGCAAUCAGAGGCGAAGAAGGACGUAAUACAUUGCGAAAAGCUCAGGGGAGUUAUGAAUAGGCAUUGAUCCUGAGAUAUCCGAAUGGGGAAACCCGGCCGUAAGGUCAUCAUUAUCUGAAAAGAUAGGGUAAUGAAGCGAACUGAGCGAACUGAAACAUCUAAGUAGCUCAAGGAAAGGAAAUCAACCGAGACUCCGAAAGUAGUGGCGAGCGAAAUCGGACCAGCCAAAAAAGACAUAGGGCGCAAGAAGAACAUUCUGGGAAGGAUGACCAAAGAAGGUGAUAGUCCUGUAUUUAUAAGCAAACUAUGUAAAAACGAGUAGGGCGGAGCACGAGAAAUUCUGUCUGAAGAUGGGUAGACCACUAUCCAAGGCUAAGUACUACUGAUUGACCGAUAGUGAACAAGUACCGUGAGGGAAAGGUGAAAAGCACCCCGAUAAGGGGAGUGAAAGAGAACCUGAAACCGGAUGCCUACAAGCAGUCGGAGGAACAUUAAGUUCUGACGGCGUACCUUUUGUAUAAUGGGUCAGCGACUUAAUUUAUGUAGCAAGCCUAAGCCGAUAGGUGUAAGCGAAGCGAAAGCGAGUGUUAAUAGCGCGAAAAGUUACAUGGAUUAGACCCGAAACCGAGUGAUCUAGCUAUGAGCAGGUUGAAGGUUGGGUAACACCAACUGGAGGACCGCACCCACGCCUGUUGAAAAAGUCGGGGAUGACUUGUAGCUAGGGGUGAAAGGCCAAUCAAACUCGGAAAUAGCUGGUUCUCCGCGAAAACUAUUUAGGUAGUGCGGCAAGCGAAUACCUUGAGGGGUAGAGCACUGGAAGAAUGAGGGGGGAGCGAUCCUUACUAAAUUUUACCAAACUCCGAAUACUCAAGAGUAAUACUUGCCAGACAGACAGUAGGUGCUAAGGUCUAUUGUCGAGAGGGAAAGAGCCCAGACCGUCAAUUAAGGUCCCUAAAUUAUGGCUAAGUGGUAAAGGAAGUGAAUUGUCCAAAACAGUCAGGAGGUUGGCUUAGAAGCAGCCAUCCUUUAAAGAAAGCGUAAUAGCUCACUGAUCUAAUUAAGACGAUUUGCGCCGAAGAUGUAACGGGGCUAAAGCCAUAUACCGAAAUUACGGGUUUGUACUAAGUACAAGCGGUAGCGGAGCGUUCUGUAAGCCUGCGAAGGUGUUCCGUAAGGAAUGCUGGAGGUAUCAGAAGUGAGAAUGCUGACAUGAGUAGCGAAAAGAAGUGUGAGAGACACUUCCGCUGAAAGUCCAAGGUUUCCUGCGUAAAGCUAAUCUGCGCAGGGUUAGUCGGCCCCUAAGGUGAGGCUGAGAAGCGUAGCUGAUGGGAAGCAGGUUAAUAUUCCUGCACCAGCUAGGAGGUGACGGAUUUCAAAGAUUGUAACUGAUUAUUGGAUUUCGGUUGCAGUUCAGAAGUUCCAGGAAAGAGCCCUAGCAUAGACCGUACCCCAAACCGACACAGGUGGACAGGUAGAGAAUACCAAAGCGCUUGAGAGAACUAUGUUGAAGGAACUAGGCAAAAUGCUUGUGUAACUUCGGGAUAAGCAAGCCCCAUUUUUAGGCAACUAAAGGUGGGGGGCACAUACUAGGGGGUAGCGACUGUUUACUAAAAACACAGGGCUCUGCUAAAUUGAAAGAUGAAGUAUAGGGUCUGACGCCUGCC